rnacentral:rRNA from 1 species
UACGUAGGUGGCGAGCGUUGUUCGGAUUUACUGGGCGUAAAGGGCGCGCAGGCGGCGAGUUUUGUCAGGCGUGAAAGCCCCGGGCUUAACCUGGGAAUGGCGCUUGGGACGGGUUCGCUAGAGAUCGGGAGAGGAGCGUGGAAUUCCCAGUGUAGAGGUGAAAUUCGUAGAUAUUGGGAAGAACACCGGUGGCGAAGGCGGCGCUCUGGACCGAGACUGACGCUGAGGCGCGAAAGCGUGGGGAGCAAACAGG